rnacentral:rRNA from 1 species
UACGAAGGGGGCUAGCGUUGCUCGGAAUCACUGGGCGUAAAGCGCACGUAGGCGGGUCGUUAAGUCAGGGGUGAAAUCCUGGAGCUCAACUCCAGAACUGCCCUUGAUACUGGCGAUCUCGAGUUCGGGAGAGGUGAGUGGAACUGCGAGUGUAGAGGUGAAAUUCGUAGAUAUUCGCAAGAACACCAGUGGCGAAGGCGGCUCACUGGCCCGGUACUGACGCUGAGGUGCGAAAGCGUGGGGAGCAAACAGG